rnacentral:rRNA from 1 species
GACGAACGCUGGCGGCGUGCUUAACACAUGCAAGUCGAACGAAGUGGCGAACGGGUGAGUAACGCGUAAUCAACCUGCCCGUCAGAGGGGGUCAACAGUUGGAAACGACUGCUAAUACCGCAUACUGAAGGAGGGGAUUGCGUCUGAUUAGCCAGUUGGAGGGGUAACGGCCCACCAAGGGGAUGAUCAGGAGCCCGUCUGGGGAGAUGAACGGCCACAUUUGGAAUGGGGCAAGGCCCAGACUCCUACGGGGGGCAGCAGUGGGGGAUCUUCCGCAAUGGGCGAAAGUCUGACGGAGCAAAGCCGCGUGAGUGAUGACAGCCUUCGGGUUGUAAAGCUCUGUUAAUCGGGACGCGGUACCGGAAUAGAAAGCCACGGCUAACUACGUGCCAGCAGCCGCGGUAAUAC